CUCAACCGAAGUUGUUUACCCGUUUUACUCACUCUCUAAAUUAACGUCAAAAUCUCCGAUCAAACAUAUACAGCGUGACCCAUCCACUCCUUUCAUCUGCGCCACAUCCAACACCACGUUUAUUUUCGGCGCCGUCACCGUGGCCAUUCGCAAACCUAGCGUUUAUUUCGCGAAAAGUGCAAAACACCUCGCCGCCGGUAGUUAAUGUCGCGACCCGAUCUUCAUUUGUCACCCGGAGGGCCAAUAAAGUGACGCCGAGUAUAGCCACUCGUACGCUUUUAGAAGCGGUAUCUGGACAUUAUGUGCUGGAUAUACGAGUCCUCGGCUUAAUCAGGACAUCGCAAGGCUACUAUUUCCAAUCAAGAGGGCUGCGCUUAAUGGCCCCGAAACGCUAUAUUUUAUUCGGGAAAUUAAUGUUGCAUUUUCAGCAGGAGCUCGACCGUCAUGGUGGCUCAUGGGCGCGAGGUACCUUCGCGGAUGCUGAUCACCGACUGGCACAGGUAGCGCAAGAGGGUAGUGGGGACCUCACCCCGAAUAUAGGGGGUAGGGCCAAGGGCACCGGAGGCUGCCGAUUUCGAUAUAGGACCAAAUUAGGGAAGCACUUCUUAGGUAACGGAUUAUGAGCCUGGGAGCUCUAAUUUAAAAAAAAAGAAAACUCGUACCAAAAGCAGCCCAAGAUAAUAUUCUUAAUUUAUUGAUUAAAAUAUUAUUGUUAUUGUUGGCCUAAAAUUUCGGUUAGCAACUUCGCUUACUUAAUCUUGAUCAAAUUAGACGUGUUUACCGCAGGAGAUAACAACUUUAUUAUUGUUUUUUUUUCAAGUAUGUUUAGUUUUCUCAAAACAAUAAAUCAAUAAUAUAUUUA